rnacentral:rRNA from 1 species
UACGUAGGGACCAAGCGUUGUCCGGAAUCAUUGGGCGUAAAGAGCGUGUAGGCGGCCAACUAAGUCCUGCGUGAAAUCUCGGGGCUCAACCCCGAGCGGUCGUGGGAAACUGGUUGGCUAGAGUGCGGGAGAGGAGAGUGGAAUUCCUGGUGUAGCGGUGAAAUGCGCAGAUAUCAGGAAGAACACCCGUGGCGAAGGCGGCUCUCUGGAACGCAACUGACGCUGAGACGCGAAAGCGUGGGGAGCAAACAGG